AUUGAACGCUGGCGGAAUGCUUUACACAUGCAAGUCGAACGGCAGCACGGGGCAACCUGGUGGCGAGUGGCGAACGGGUGAGUAAUACAUCGGAACGUGCCCAGUCGUGGGGGAUAACGUAGCGAAAGCUACGCUAAUACCGCAUACGAUCUACGGAUGAAAGCGGGGGACUCGCAAGAGCCUCGCGCGAUUGGAGCGGCCGAUGGCAGAUUAGGUAGUUGGUGGGGUAAGGACUCACCAAGCCUGCGAUCUGUAGCUGGUCUGAGAGGACGACCAGCCACACUGGAACUGAGACACGGUCCAGACUCCUACGGGAGGCAGCAGUGGGGAAUUUUGGACAAUGGGCGCAAGCCUGAUCCAGCCAUUCCGCGUGCAGGAUGAAGGCCUUCGGGUUGUAAACUAGCUUUUGUACGGAACGAAAGGUUUUACUCUAAUACAGAGGGCGUCAUGACGGUACCGUAAGAAUAAG
rnacentral:rRNA from 1 species